rnacentral:lncRNA from 1 species
UCAUUUCUCCUUUUGUUUUUCCUUUAUCAAAAUGGCCUCCUUCAAAGAGAUCAUAUCAACACUCCCAAGAAGAAAAAGCUGGUAUGGCGAUGAUACUUUUUUGUAUCAAGGCUUUUGGUGUGACACAUUUUUUAUUGAAGGAUUAAUGAGAGCUCAACAAAAUUUUCGAUCUCAACCUCCUGAUAUCGUCAUAUGCAGUGCUAUGAAAACCGGAACAACAUGGUUAAAGUCCCUCACUUUUGCCAUUGUAACAAGAUCCACCUUCGAUGAUUCCACUAACCCUCUAUUUAACAAUCUAUCACAUGAUUGUGUACCCCUUUUAGAGGUUGAUUUAGCCCAAUCUUCCACCAAUCGAGACCCUAAAAAUCCUUUGUUAGCCACACAUGCCCCUCACUGUUCUUUACCAAGAUCAAUAAUUGAUUCUAGUUGUAAAAUUGUUUACAUUUGUAGGGACCCUAAGGAUUCAUUAGUUUCGCUUUAUCACUUCUUUGCUAGGUACUUGGCAUCCAAAGACAUGAAGCCUCCUGCUUUAGAAGAGGCCUUUGAGCUUUUUUGCCAAGGUGUAAGCUCUUACGGACCUUAUUGGGACCAUGUUCUAGGGUUUUGGAAAGCAAGUUUGGACCGACCUGAUAAGAUUCUUUUCUUGAAAUACGAAGAAAUGAUAGAAGAUACUAUUUUAUACGUUAAGAAAAUAGCUGAUUUCAUCGGUUAUCCUUUCUCUUUUGAAGAACUUGAAAAAGGAUCAGUCGAAAAAAUCGUAAACAUGUGUAGUUUCGAGAAUUUAAGCAAUUUGGAAGUGAAUAAAAGCGGAAAACACCGUGAGGGAACUCCAGCGGUGAUUGAAAACAAGAUGUAUUUCCGAAAAGGUAAGGUUGGGGAUUGGGAGAAUUAUUUGACACCUGAAAUGGCUGCUCGGUUGGACUCGAUAACGUUGCAGAAGCUAAAUGGUUCAGGCUUAACUCUAUGAUUGAAUAAUAAAGCAGCCAUGGGGUACAUUUUGCCUUCUCUGCAAUUUCGACAUAUUAUGUUUCUAAAAAUAAAUUGUGUAUGCUUUUUGCAAGUAGCAACACUUCUCGUGUUGUUCAUGUUAAGAUCAAUUAAAAGUAUAGUUGGUUCAAUUGAAAUCGAUUCAAUCAAUAAAAUUUGAUAUAAGUUGAUUUGAUUUUGUUAGUUUAAUAUUUAUGGAUAAACUACACCAACUCUCCUAAGUUUUGUAUAAAAUUACAUUUCAGUUACUCAACUUUCAAAAUUUAUAUCAUAGUCACUGACAUGAUCAAAUUGUUACAUUUUUGUCACUCGACUGUUAACUUUAAAGAAGUAACGUUGCACAUAAAUUCAAAAGGUUAAUAGCUAAUUUGGUCCCUGAACUAUAGUUAAAAAAUUAUUUUCACAUUUAAAUAAUUGUAAAAAAGUAAAAAAAAAAGUCUUAAAAAUAAAAUUCAUAUAAAAAACCAGUUGCAGCGAGAAACAACUAAGAAUUUUGCUACUGUCUUUGCUCUUUUUUUCUUUUUUUUUUUCCUCUCUUUUUUCAUGUAGACCGACGUUGGCUCUUCUCUUCCCAAAUCUUUAAAAAUAAUAUAUAGGUUUUAUUUAUAGCUAAAAGAAAAAUAUUGACUUGAAAAGGUGGGUUUGGAGAAGAAGAAUAGCACUUUGUAUUAUAAAUUUAAAAACAAAAACCCAAUCAGUGUAACACCCCAAACCCAAUCUAGACGUUGUGACCGAAUCUUGAAGGUUACAUUAACUUCUUGAAAAUUUAGAUUGUUAUUUUCUGAAAUUUCGACUUGUUUUUCUGUAAAAAUAAAUUCUUAGUAAAAAACUCGUUUUCACUUAUUAGUUGCAAAAAAAAAAAAAAACACCAUUCUACAAUAACGGUUUCUUUAAAACAUUUGUUCUUUACUCAUAAAUUGAAAUAAUAGAAAUACUGUGAACUCGCUUAUUUUUCAGAAAACUAGAUUUCUCAUUUUGUUUUGCAACGAAAAAACUUUAACUUGUUUAAUUUUGAAAAUAAAACAUUUUUUUUAAUUAACAGAAAUCAUGUAGAAAAUUUAAACUAAUUAACUAAAAAAGCAUAGUUGAUUGAAUAUGUGAAAUGUGAUUAAAAACAACAUGUAAAAGAAAAUGCGAAAUGAUUUAUAUGAGUCCGAAGGAUCGAUAUGAAAGUUAAAAAAAAUCAAUAGAUUUGAUGAUUAAAUGAUAUGAUUAAAUGAUAUUUUUUUUAUAGUGGAAAAAGUAGCAUGGUAUGUUAUAAUGAUUUGCCGAUUUGCAUAAUGUAUGUGUCGAAACAAUUUUUUUUAUAAAACGGGAUCGAUUUUAAUUUUGAAAAUGAAAACGAACAUGGGAGUUGCCACCAAUCCUUUUUAUUUAGGUGUGAUCGGAUCACUUUAUAAUUUAAUCAUUUUAAUAAAAGUUUUAAAUUUACUAAAACGAUAAUUUUUGGUCUACAAAAUCCAGAAAAUGGGUUCGGGAGUCAAUUACGCACGAGGAAGGGUUAGCACGCUCGUAACGCCCAGAAAUUGGUACCUAGUUGAUUAAUUAGUGUCUUAGUGUUGAGGAUUGAAAACUUUGAAGAGUUUUAAAAAUACGAUCCUUAAAAAAAACUCGAAUAACAUGGGUUAGAAUUUAGGAUUCUCUUGUUCUGAAGGAAUAUCACAUCCAGCACGUUAGGAUACAAUACUUUAAACCCUUGAAACCAAGAUUACCUUACGGUUUCCAAAACCCAUAUUUUUGAAAUUUUAAGAGGAUAUUUGGCUAUUUGGUCGAACGAGAAAUCGAAACCCAGCACGUUAGGGCGUGUUUUCUCGAAUUUCCAAACGCAAAAUAUUGUCUUAUUUUAAAACUCUUUUUUUUGAAUAAUAGCGAGUACAACACUUGAACGACAUACAUUUGUUUUAUUUAUGAUAAAACAUAAAAGUUUAUUAUAGGUAUAUACAAAUCGAGCGCAACUUUUAAAGUGAUGAAAUGGAAUGAUAAUGGGGCAUGAAAUAACAACUAACGAAUAAAAUGAUACAUUAAUGCAUGACAAGUAUACGAAAACACGAAUAAAUGAAGCAUAGUUCCCACAAUUACAAUAAGCACAGAACAUAUAACAUUUUAAUACCAACAUUAAUAAUCAAAGGGAAAUAAAGAAAUAAUAUAUGAAAUAAUUUGAAGUAAAUAACAAUAUAAAAUAAGUGAUUUAUAAGAACAAUAAAUAAUAAGGGUUUCAAAUAAACAAUCAAUAGGAAUCUUAAAAUAAAUAAUAACAAAACAGUUUAAAAUAAAUAAAUAAAUAAGGUAUGGAACAGUUUUAAAGAAUAUAUGAAAAUUUGAAAGGCAUAUAUAUACAAUUGAUAAUAUAAAUAUUAUGUAAAACCGUUUAAAACAAAUAAUGUAUGGAACUUAAAAUUAAUAAUGCUAACGAGCCUUCUUUUUUUUAAAAGAAUGAAUAUAAAUUAAAUGGGCCUAGGACGAAAUUGAAUUCGAAUUAAAGAGUCGGGUCUAAAUUAAAAAAAAAGGCUGCCGAGGAUCAAAAUAAGAUGCGCCCGAAGAACGAGGGACUUAUUGGGAAAAUAUUUCCUUCCCUCAUGCGCAAGUUCAACACGGACCAGAUUGGAACGAACGGAAAAUCAUGCGGCCUAAAUAAAAAGACAACAUGGAUUAGAUUGCACCACAGCGCAAAAGCGGAGGGACCCCUCACAUAAAUAGACCCUCCAAGCAAAACACGCGGAUCCUGCUACUGGGUCGGGUCGCGCUUGCGGGUUAAGGGCCAAAACAACGUCGUUUUGGUAACUGAACCCUAACUUACAAAACGGCGCCGUUUAAUAACCUUAUUUAAAUCAAAUUUAAAAAAAAAUCAUUUUUUUAGUGUUUAGAGAAAAAAAAAACUUCAAAAUCUCCCAUAUGUCUCUCUCAACCCCACUUGGCCAGCGUGGGUUCCCUCGGAGAAUCUGCUGCACCACCGCCGUCUGCAACUCUCGACUCAACAAUGUUUGUAUAGUUCCUUUACGUUUUGGUAUAUGACAUGUACUUAAGUUUUGAGUUGGUUUUGUAUCUUGGAUGGUCAUUUGGAAAAUUGGAUAGUUGAUGUCAAUUUGAAUUUAUGAAUAUGAGAUGUUUAAGUUAUCAUGAACAUUAUGUGAUGUUUAAAUGGUUAAGUGGUAUAAACGAUCAUAUGUAUUAAGUUAGAUCUGAGUUGUGAAUGGUUAAAUUGAUAAACAUGAAUGAUAAUGACAUAGCAAAGGUAGUAUAUGAAGUGUUGAUGUAGGUAUUAUGCUUGAACGGAUUGGUUUCGCAUUGGUUAUUUUGGUUAUUAGGUUAGCAUGGAUUGGUUCCAUAUAAACAUUUCAAAACAGCAUGUCAUGUUGUAACAAGAAAUUGAUAGUGAAUGAUGUCGCGACUUGGAAUCUCCCAAGUUGUGACGUCAACUCGAUAGUUUUAACAUUUUAUAUUUUAGUCCUUAAACGACCUUAGGUUAUCGAAAGAGCUUUCGUAUGCUCGUAUAAACCUUGGAUAUGUUUGUUAAUAUGAUAUAAUGAUGUAUUGAUCAUAAUUACAUGUAUAAACUGUUGAAUUGAUAAAAUUUAGAUCGUAGUUGUUCCAACAACGAAUGUGACAUCCCAUAACUUGGACCUGCGAUCAAGUAGGGUAUGGGGUUUACGAGAAAGGUGGGCUUCGAGAAGAAGAAUAGCACUUUGUAUUAUAAAUUUAAAAACAAAAACUCAAUCAGUUUAGUAAAUGGAGUUAGAGAAGAAAUAAUGGGUUUAGAAAAGAAGUAGAGCACUUUGUGUUAUAAAUUAAAUGAAAAAAAAAAUCAAAAAUUUCAAAAAAUUGAAACUUACCAAAGAGUCCAAAUAAAUAUAAUAUAAUACAACAUUUUGCUCUUCUCUCUUGCUCGAUAGGCCGUUGGUGGUAGAAGUUUUUAUGAUUCUCAAGAAUGAAAGCACUGUUACCCAAGCCUUGAUAUUGUUUCCUGAAAAUUCGAGCAGCAACAAUCGGUCUAAUAAUUAUAAUUAGUUAGACUUUUCUAGAUAAUAAAAUACUAUUACGUACCAAUUUUACAAACUACUAACAAUAUAUAUUUGACAGUUAAAAGUUUUUUUUUACAUAAAACGAAUAUUUAGAAAAUUUUAAUGUAUGUCAAUCUUGACAUACAUGAUCUAUAUGAAUGGAGUAUGAAAUAUGACGGUAGGAUUGUUAAAAUAAAAAUUGUAUAAAAAGUUACUAAAUUAUGCAAAACCACUUUAAUUUUACAACCGUGUAAGUGAAUUUCUCCUCUUAUUUUAUUUUUUAAGUAUUAUAUUAAUAAUUUUUAUCUUACAUAUUUUAUUUAUGUUUUCUGGGUACAUGUUUUAUCUUAAGAUUUGUAUAAUUCUUUACACAAUAAUAAUUCAUUUUACAUAGUUAUAAAAAAUCAUUAAUUUUACAUAAAUUUUGAUAUAUUAUUAUAUUUUGGUUUAUGUUUAUUUCUAUGUGACAUGAUAAUUUUAAUUAUUUAAAUUUUUUUUAUCUUCGAAUAAAUUUGUCAAAUAAUUUAAUAUUUAAAUCAUUAUAUAUAGUGUACAAAUCAUAUAAUAAAAAAUUAAUCUAACUUUACGAAGCAUAAUGAGCAGGUAUAUUCUAGUGAUAUAUUAAAUAUAUUAUAUAACUCUUUUACAUACUUUUUUUACCUUCAAAAAGUCAAAUUCUUGAUCAUUUUAGUCUCUUUUUUUAUUAUCAUUUUAGUUUUGAAUCAUCAAAUUUCAAUUAAAUUACCUUUUUUUUGGACGUAAAAGGUUGACCUAACAAGUAAACUUUUAAACGUGAUAGCCUGUAUAGUAGUGCAUGUGUAUUUUAUUGUUGACGUGGAUGAUUAUUUUCAAAACUUUUAUGAACUUUUUGAAUUUUUAUUUUUAUUUAAUUUAUGAAGUAAGCGCGGACUUUCAUGUGUGUCACCAUGUCACUUCCGUUAAAAUUUUAAUAGUCCAAUUAAUUUUUCAGUUCAAAGAAAAACAAUUUAACAAAAAUUUGAAAAUUUAAAACAAACCGAUCCAAAAAAGUAUCAAGACAAAUGCAUUUAAGAAAAGAGAAAUUAUUUGGUAUACUGCCGGUAGAGCUUUUAUACUCCACAAGCAAAAUCAGGGGUUAAUAAGUAUCCUAUAGAAAAUACCAAUUUUUUAAGAUUACUUAUAAAAUAAAAUAAAAAUACACUUCACAGUUCACCCCAAUUAUUGUUAACAAAACCUGAUUCCAAAUCUUUUAAAAUAAUACAAAAAAAUCUAUCAACUAGAUUGUUUAGGGACAAAAUCUUGCAUGGGACAGACCUUGACAAUGGGUAAAUAAGCACUAGCUACAUUUUUUAUUUAUUUAGUCCCUAUAAUUCUAUUUCAAUUCAAGAAAUUACGUGGUGGAUAUAAUAAAAAAAUGUUAUUAAAAGCAAAUAAUUUUCGUCACUAAGUUCACAUGGUUCAAUUACAAAAAAAAUAUUGUGCAAUUGUGAAAGAAAUUACCUUUUCUCUAAAGCUAUUUAUAGACCCAAUUUUUGUCAAAAUAUUUGCACUCAUUUCCCCUUUCUUUUUCCUUUAUGAAAAUGGCCUCCUUCAAAGAGAUUAUAUCAACACUCCCAAGAAGAAAAAGUUGGAAUGACUCAAAUAACGACUUUUUUUUGUAUCGAGGCUUCUGGUGUUACUCGUUUUUCAUUGAAGGAGUGAUGUCGGCUCAACAAAAUUUCCAAUCUCAACCUUCCGAUAUCGUCAUAUGCAGUGCACCGAAAACUGGAACAACAUGGUUAAAGUCCCUCACUUUUGCCAUUGUCACAAGAAUCACCUUCGAUGAUUCCACUAACCCUUUACUUGCCAAUCUAUCACAUGAUUGUGUACCACUUUUAGAGGUUGAUUUAGCCCAAUCUUCCAUCAAUCGAGACCCUAAAAAUCCUUUGUUAGCCACACAUGUCCCUUACUCAUCUUUACCAAGAUCAAUAAUUGAUUCCAGUUGUAAAAUUGUUUACAUUUGUAGGGACCCUAAGGAUUCAUUCGUUUCGUUUUAUCACUUCAUUGCUAGGCGCUUGGCAUCCAAAGACAUAAAGCCCCUUGCUUUAGAAGAGGCCUUUGAGCUUUAUUGCCAAGGUGUAAGCAAUUAUGGACCUUAUUGGGACCAUGUUCUAGGGUUUUGGAAAGCAAGUUUGGACCGACCUGAUAAGAUUCUUUUCUUGAAAUACGAAGAAAUGAUAGAAGAUACUGUUUUAUACGUUAAGAAAUUAGCUGAUUUCAUCGGUUACCCUUUCUCUUCUGAAGAAAUCAAAAAAGGGUCAGUCGACAAGAUCAUAAGCAUGUGUAGCUUC